UACGGAGGGUGCAAGCGUUAUCCGGAUUUACUGGGUUUAAAGGGUGCGUAGGUGGGUUGGUAAGUCAGUGGUGAAAUCUUCGAGCUUAACUCGGAAACUGCCAUUGAUACUAUUAAUCUUGAAUUAUCUGGAGGUAAGCGGAAUGUGUCAUGUAGCGGUGAAAUGCUUAGAUAUGACAUAGAACACCCAUUGCGAAGGCAGCUUACUACGGAUACAUUGACACUGAGGCACGAAAGCGUGGGGAGCAAACAGG
rnacentral:rRNA from 1 species